rnacentral:rRNA from 1 species
AGAAGAUUAAUUUAGUGUGGAGGGGUGGAAUCCGUACAUGUUAAGUUGUACUGUUGCUUCUUUUUUUUGACGCUUCGAAAACUAAACGAGAGACCGGGAUUAGAUACCCCGUUAUUUUUUUUGUAAAUUUUGAUUGUUGUUAAUUUACCUGAGUAUUACGGGUUAAAAUAUCUUCAUGACGAUAGAAUUUGGUUAUGGUGUUAUUUAGAUACUUAAAACUCAAAAAACUUGGCGGUGCCUUAUUUCCUCCCAGGGGAACCUGUCCUGUAAUCGAUGAUCCACGAUUAAUCUUACUUUUUCUUGAAUUUAUGCAGGUCAUACUAUCAGUUUGUAUACCGUCGUCGUCAGAUUACCUUUAAGAGUUAAAAAGUUGUCUGGUAAAUUGGAAAUUUAUCUGUAUGUUUAAAAGUGUGUAGUUAGAUUUAAUUUUUGAUGUCAGAUCAAGGUGCAGCUUAUGAGAAAGUAGAGAUGGGUUACAAUGUAGAUUUUACAUUAUGGAUACUGGCUUGAAAUAGCUAGGUGAAAGCGGACUUGGAAGUAAUUUAUUGGCAAAUUAGAUUAGUAAGUUUUUGUGAAUAUAGGUACUAAGGUGCGC